UACGUAGGGGGCAAGCGUUGUUCGGAAUUAUUGGGCGUAAAGGGCGCGUAGGCGGUGCGGUAAGUCACCUGUGAAACCUCUAGGCUUAACCUAGAGCCUGCAGGCGAAACUGCCGUGCUGGAGUGUGGGAGAGGUGCGUGGAAUUCCCGGUGUAGCGGUGAAAUGCGUAGAUAUCAGGAGGAACACCGGUGGCGAAGGCGGGUCUCUGGGCCGUAACUGACGCUGAGGAGCGAAAGCGUGGGGAGCGAACAGG
rnacentral:rRNA from 1 species